ACGAACUCUGGUAUUGAUUGGUGCUUGCAUCAUGAUUUACAUUUGAGUGAGUGGCGAACUGGUGAGUAACACGUGGGAAACCUGCCCAGAAGCGGGGGAUAACACCUGGAAACAGAUGCUAAUACCGCAUAACAACUUGGACCGCAUGGUCCGAGUUUGAAAGAUGGCUUCGGCUAUCACUUUUGGAUGGUCCCGCGGCGUAUUAGCUAGAUGGUGGGGUAACGGCUCACCAUGGCAAUGAUACGUAGCCGACCUGAGAGGGUAAUCGGCCACAUUGGGACUGAGACACGGCCCAAACUCCUACGGGAGGCAGCAGUAGGGAAUCUUCCACAAUGGACGAAAGUCUGAUGGAGCAACGCCGCGUGAGUGAAGAAGGGUUUCGGCUCGUAAAACUCUGUUGUUAAAGAAGAACAUAUCUGAGAGUAACUGUUCAGGUAUUGACGGUAUUUAACCAGAAAGCCACGGCUAACUACGUGCCAGCAGCCGCGGUAAUACGUAGGUGGCAAGCGUUGUCCGGAUUUAUUGGGCGUAAAGCGAGCGCAGGCGGUUUUUUAAGUCUGAUGUGAAAGCCUUCGGCUCAACCGAAGAAGUGCAUCGGAAACUGGGAAACUUGAGUGCAGAAGAGGACAGUGGAACUCCAUGUGUAGCGGUGAAAUGCGUAGAUAUAUGGAAGAACACCAGUGGCGAAGGCGGCUGUCUGGUCUGUAACUGACGCUGAGGCUCGAAAGUAUGGGUAGCAAACAGGAUUAGAUACCCUGGUAGUCCAUACCGUAAACGAUGAAUGCUAAGUGUUGGAGGGUUUCCGCCCUUCAGUGCUGCAGCUAACGCAUUAAGCAUUCCGCCUGGGGAGUACGGCCGCAAGGCUGAAACUCAAAGGAAUUGACGGGGGCCCGCACAAGCGGUGGAGCAUGUGGUUUAAUUCGAAGCUACGCGAAGAACCUUACCAGGUCUUGACAUACUAUGCAAAUCUAAGAGAUUAGACGUUCCCUUCGGGGACAUGGAUACAGGUGGUGCAUGGUUGUCGUCAGCUCGUGUCGUGAGAUGUUGGGUUAAGUCCCGCAACGAGCGCAACCCUUAUUAUCAGUUGCCAGCAUUAAGUUGGGCACUCUGGUGAGACUGCCGGUGACAAACCGGAGGAAGGUGGGGAUGACGUCAAAUCAUCAUGCCCCUUAUGACCUGGGCUACACACGUGCUACAAUGGAUGGUACAACGAGUUGCGAACUCGCGAGAGUAAGCUAAUCUCUUAAAGCCAUUCUCAGUUCGGAUUGUAGGCUGCAACUCGCCUACAUGAAGUCGGAAUCGCUAGUAAUCGCGGAUCAGCAUGCCGCGGUGAAUACGUUCCCGGGCCUUGUACACACCGCCCGUCACACCAUGAGAGUUUGUAACACCCAAAGUCGGUGGGGUAACCUUUU
rnacentral:rRNA from 1 species